GAUUUAAAAUGAAUUAUAAUUCAUAUCAUUGACACCACAAAUCAAUAUUUUUAUUAAACUAUUUAAAU
rnacentral:tRNA from 1 species